rnacentral:lncRNA from 1 species
UUAAUUCCAGCUGAAACCAUUCAAGUCAAGUUGUUUGCAAGUGGAAGCAGCAUCAAUUUCAUCAUGGGUAUUGAGAUCUAGUUUUGUUGCAAAAUAAGGCAGUCUAUAUCCUGGUGAGAUGUUCUCAUUCUGUAGUUUAACUGAAUCUGCUGUUUUUUUAGUCUGGUCAGGGAAUUUGUCAUCAUCAUUCCUUUCCUUGUAUCUUCCCUCAGAAAAGCCACUACAUGGGUUCCUACUUUCUCCUUGGAGUCCAACUCUCAUGGAUAAAUCACUCGAGCUUCUUUCCGAAGAAAAAAUUCUCCUUUCUG